GAUGAACGCUGGCGGCGUGCCUAAUACAUGCAAGUCGAGCGAACGGACGAGAAGCUUGCUUCUCUGAUGUUAGCGGCGGACGGGUGAGUAACACGUGGAUAACCUACCUAUAAGACUGGGAUAACUUCGGGAAACCGGAGCUAAUACCGGAUGAUAUCUUGAACCGCAUGGUUCAAAAGUGAAAGACGGUCUUGCUGUCACUUAUAGAUGGAUCCGCGCUGCAUUAGCUAGUUGGUAAGGUAACGGCUUACCAAGGCAACGAUGCAUAGCCGACCUGAGAGGGUGAUCGGCCACACUGGAACUGAGACACGGUCCAGACUCCUACGGGAGGCAGCAGUAGGGAAUCUUCCGCAAUAGGCGAAAGCCUGACGGAGCAACGCCGCGUGAGUGAUGAAGGUCUUCGGAUCGUAAAACUCUGUUAUUAGGGAAGAACAUAUGUGUAAGUAACUGUGCACAUCUUGACGGUACCUAACCAGAAAGCCACGGCUAACUACGUG
rnacentral:rRNA from 1 species